rnacentral:misc_RNA from 1 species
GAUGAAGAACGCAGCGAAAUGCGAUAAGUAUGUGAAUUGCAGAAUUCAGUGAAUCAUCGAAUCUUUGAACGCACAUUGCGCCCGCCAGUAUUCUGGCGGGCAUGCCUGUUCGAGCGUCAUUUCAACCAUCAAGCCCCCGGCUUGUGUUGGGGACCUGCGGCUGCCACAGGCCCUGAAAACCAGUGGCGGGCUCGCUAGUCACUCCGAGCGUAGUAAUACAUCUCGCUCAGGGCGUGCUGCGGGUUCCGGCCGUUAAAAAGCCUUAUUUACCCAAGGUUGACCUCGGAUCAGGUAGGAAGACCCGCUGAACUUAAGCAUAUCAAUAAGCGGAGGA